rnacentral:rRNA from 1 species
CGGACGGGUGAGUAAUGUCUGGGAAACUGCCCGAUGGAGGGGGAUAACUACUGGAAACGGUAGCUAAUACCGCAUAACGUCGCAAGACCAAAGAGGGGGACCUUAGGGCCUCUUGCCAUCGGAUGUGCCCAGAUGGGAUUAGCUAGUAGGUGAGGUAACGGCUUACCUAGGCGACGAUCCCUAGCUGGUCUGAGAGGAUGAUCAGCCACACUGGGACUGAGACACGGCCCAG